AAAGAUUUAAUUUUAGUAUGUAUAGUGUCACAUGAUAGUAAUAAUAUAAGUAUUUAAAUUUUAAUAUAUUUGAUUGAUUAAAUUAAAUAAUGGAACUAAAUUAAUAGUUAAGAUGGGUGAGAUUAAAAUAAUGAGAUAAUGAGUAAGUGAAGUUUGGACUUUAAUGAGGUUAGGUAUGGGAGUAAUUAUAGAAGGUUCUAGUUUCAAAAAAAAUAAAAAGAAAGGAAAAAAAAAUAAUAAUGAAAUGAAAUAUCAAGCCAAGUGAGUAGUUCUCGUUCAUUCAAAGACUUUUGGCCUAAAUUAUUAGCUUUUGACAGUAACUAAGGAGCUUUUUUAGGACAACCUUCUCCACCAAUUUUCUAGCCUAUUACGGGUAUGUUCUUGUAAGAAUAAGUCAUCCAAAUGAUCAUCUAUACUUAAUUUGAUCUUAGCUACCCAACAUUUUGCCCAUCUUCAAUGUUCCAAAGAGAGGAAUUUUUAGGAAUCAUGGCGAGCUGCUGUCAUUCUUCUCUUUUGAUGUCACCAGCUCCGACAACAUUAUCAACUAUGGCAAGCUUUCCAACCAGCUCCCUUACAUAAGCUUUUGAACCUAAAACUUUCUCAUCCUCUCAGUCUUAAUUGAUUGUUAAAUUAAAUUAGGUUUAAGGAUGUCUAAGAGUUGGAUCAUAAUAGAAGUGGUAGUAGUUACAGAUUCGAGAUGCUAAACUCCAUGGUUUGGAAAAAUGAAGUUAGAAAAUUAGAUGGUUAGGUUCAAUUCCGGCAGGGGCGUUACAUUAAUAAAUAUUGAUGUUUUGGAAGUUUUGAAUCCACUGAAUGCAUAGCCAAUUUCUUAGCAGAA